GGGAAAUGCAUAUGGCUGAGCAUCACUGGGUAGGAGCAGCUACUGAUCUCUCUGAAGCUUUUAGGAACUAUGAUGAAACUGGGAAUCACAGGCGUAUUCAAUGCUUGAAGCAUGUGAUCAAAGUACCUAGUUCUUGCCAACAUGCUGAUGGAGUCUGAGGUCAAUCCCUUUGAUGGACAAGAAGCUAUAAACCGUAAGUCGUUUGCACCCUAAUUUAGGAUUAACAGAAGAACCAUUAUCCAUUUAUUGGAAAUUACAUUGAAGAUCUGCUAAAGAAUAUUAUUAACACAAGUCUUAUUGGAGCUCAUCAAACCUAAUACAAGGGUAAGGAUCCCAUUUAUAUCUAAGGCACUUUAACACACACCAGUCCUUUCUUUCUACGUCAUCAGUUGUUAGAGAGGUGUUCUCCUGUUCCCCCAUCCACCCUCACCUGGGGAAAGAUCAAUAAAAAAGAAAGAGUUGUUGAACACAUCUGUCUGGACAAUGUAAGAAGUGCCCUCCUGUCACUUGAAGAGGGUGAAUACAGAAUAGGGCAUUGUCGAGCUAGUUGCCCAUUGCGAAGGAAACAAGUCAAACAUUAUCUUCUGGACUCUUUGGAUGCUUUUUCCCAGUACUUAGUUGCUUUGGUCAAUAAAUAUUUCUGAAAUAUUCUUAGCAUGGUCAUCAAGUCAAUGCAGCUCCUCCCUCCCCUUCCUAACUUGUAAGAUUAAUAUGUGGAAUUCAAUGCUUGAAUUAUGUUUAAUUCGAUUUGUAUAUUUGAUAAAACCCCUUCAUUGACAGGAACUUAAUGUCCCCGAGCAUGA